GAUGAACGCUGGCGGCGUGCCUAAUACAUGCAAGUCGAGCGAACGGACGAGAAGCUUGCUUCUCUGAUGUUAGCGGCGGACGGGUGAGUAACACGUGGAUAACCUACCUAUAAGACUGGGAUAACUUCGGGAAACCGUAGCUAAUACCGGAUGAUAUUUUGAACCGCAUGGUUCAAAAGUGAAAGACUGUCUUGCUGUCACUUAUAGAUGGAUCCGCGCUGCAUUAGCUAGUUGUUAAGGUAACGGCUUACCAAGGCAACGAUGCAUAGCCGACCUGAGAGGGGACUCGGCCCCACGGAAGCUGAGCCACGGUCCAUACGCCGACUGGAGGCAGUAGUAGGGAUUCUUCGGCAAUGGACGAGAGCCAGUGGGAGCAACGCAGCGUGUGAGAUGAAGGUCUUCGGGUCGUAAAACUCUGUUAUUAGGGAAGAACAUAUGUGUAAGAAAGUGUGCACUUCUGGACGGUACCUAAUCAGAAACCCCCGGUUAACUAUG
rnacentral:rRNA from 1 species